rfam:Felis catus isolate Cinnamon breed Abyssinian chromosome D3, whole genome shotgun sequence.
GCCUGGCUGGCUCAGUCAGUAGAGCAUGUGACUCUCGAUCUUAGGGUCCUGAGUUCGAGCCUCACGUUGGGCA